rnacentral:rRNA from 1 species
AAAUUGAAGAGUUUGAUCAUGGCUCAGAUUGAACGCUGGCGGCAGGCCUAACACAUGCAAGUCGAACGGUAACAGGAAGCAGCUUGCUGCUUUGCUGACGAGUGGCGGACGGGUGAGUAAUGUCUGGGAAACUGCCUGAUGGAGGGGGAUAACUACUGGAAACGGUAGCUAAUACCGCAUAACGUCGCAAGACCAAAGAGGGGGACCUUCGGGCCUCUUGCCAUCGGAUGUGCCCAGAUGGGAUUAGCUAGUAGGUGGGGUAACGGCUCACCUAGGCGACGAUCCCUAGCUGGUCUGAGAGGAUGACCAGCC